ensembl:lncRNA
AUGCCGGCCACUAGGUGGCGCUAUACCAAGGAAUACGCGUUUGGGGCUAUAACUCCCACACCGAACCUCCCACAGUCAAAAACUUGUACGCACAUAUUCACUGGAGUCUGCUGCAUCUUUUGGCAUAGGCCACGCCCAUUUGUGUCUGGAACAAACCGUAAAUGGUGCCGACACGCCAAUUGCAUGACUAGAUCCAGGUCCGUGAACAUUACGCAGACCACAAAAAUACAGACACGCCGGCCACUAGGUGGCGCUAUACCAAGGGAAAACGCGUUUAGGACUAUAACUCCCACACCGAACCUCCCACAGUCAAAAACUUGUACCCACUUAUUCACUGGAGUCUGCUGCAUCUUUUGGCAUAGGCCACGCCCAUUUGCGUCUAUAAUUUUUUUUCGCAAAAUCGCGAAAACCGCAAAACUGUUUUUUCGCUACUCCUCCCACAUUUCCUGACCAAUCGACACCAAACUUUGCACACGGCAUCUUCAGACCUACACGAAAAGAAAUGCUGCAUUACUUUUUUGAUCCGACCCUCGACGACGAAACGGUAGCGUUUUGAACAUUGGUUUAUUAGCUACGUUUUACGCCGAAACGCAAAAAUUCAAAAAAUACCAAAAUUAGACAUCGGAUCUAGCCCACAUUUUAGACACAUGUCGGUGUUACCCUUAAUGGCGUUCAAUAAAAAAAACGGAAUUUUUCGCCAUUAGGGGGCGCAAUAAACGAGGAAAUUGUAUAUCUUCUAAUUGGCCAAAGGAAUGUUCUUCAAACUAUAAGGGAACCAUCAAGGGGCAAACCCGAGUCUAUAUAGAAAAUAUGGCCAAGAAUUAUUAAUGUGGGCGGGAGUUAUUUGGCAAAGGAAAAUUGUCUUUGGAAAAUGUCGCCACAGGGCGGCGCCAAAAAACGACGACAUUGUCUAUCUCCUAUUUGGCCAAUGGAAUGUUCUGAAAACGCGUUUUAGGCUAUAACUCCCACACCGAAGCUCCCACAGUCAAAACCUUUAUAUCCACAUGUUGUUCACGGUAGCGUUUUGAAUACUUGCUUCGCGUUGUGCCGGCGAAAUGCACAUUUCUUGUCGCGUUGUGCCGGCGAAAUGCACACUUCUUGGACCCCUGCAUAACUGCUUGCAGUUCUAGUUAUACUUCCCGCCAUAGAAGUGGUACCACAGCCCAAACCGUAAAUGGUGCACACACGCCAAUUGCAUGACUAGAUCCAGGUACGGCACCGCUACUCAGAUAACCAAAUCCAGACACGCCGGCCACUAGGUGGCGCUAUACCAAGGAAUACGCGUUUGGGGCUAUAACUCCCACACCGAACCUCCCAGAGUCCAAAAACUUGUACACACAGAUGCACUGGAGUCUGCUGCAUCUUUUGGCCUCGGCCACGCCCAUUUGCGUCUAUGAUUAUUUUUCGCUAAAUCGCGAAAACCGCAAAAAUGUUUUUUCGCUACUCCUCCCACAUUUCUCGACCAAUUGACACAAAACUUUGCACACGGCAUAUUCAGACCUACACGAAAAGAAUUCCUGCAUUACUUUUUUGAUCCGACCUUCGACGACGAAACGGUAGCGUUUUGAAUAUUGGUUUAUUAGCUAAAUUAGACGUGGAAAAUCCAAAAUCCCAAAAAAUCCAAAAUUACACAUCGGAUCGACUCCAAGUUUAACACACAUGUUGGUGCUAACCUUAGUGUCGUACGAUAAAAAUUUCGGAAAAUUUCGCCAUUAGGGGGCGCCAUAAACGAGGAAAAUGUAUAUCUUCUACAAAAUUUGGCCUCGAAAACGCUAAACUGACUUCUCGCUACUCCUACCACAGUCAAAUCCUUUGUAUCCACAGGUUCAGGGUAGCGUUUUGAACACAUGCUUCGCGUUCUGCCGGCGAAACGCACAUUUCUUGUCGCGUUGUGCCGGCGAAAUGCACACUUCUUGGACCCCUGCAUAACUGCUUGCAGUUCUAGUUAGGGGUCCAAGCCAACAGGUUGGAUCCCUAUUGUUUUUGUAAGGAUUUUUAUUAUUAGGGGUCCAAGCCAACAGGUUGGAUCCCUAUUGUUUUUGUAAGGAUUUUUAUUAGGGGUCCAAGCCAACAGGUUGGAUCCCUAUUGUUUUUGUAAGGAUUUUUCUUAUUAGGGGUCCAAGCCAACAGGUUGGAUCCCUAUUGUUUUUGUAAGGAUUCUUCUUUUUAUACUUCCCGCGCUAAAAGUGGGCCCACAGCCCAAACCGUAAAUGGUGCACAUGCGCCAAUUACAUGACUAGAACCAGGUCCGGCACCGCUACUCAGAUAACCAAAUCCAGACAUGCCGGCCACUAGGUGGCGCUAUACCAAGGAGAAACACGUUUGGGGCAAUAGCUCCCACACCGAACCUCCCAGAGUCCAAAAACUUGUACACACAGAUGCACUGGAGUCUGCUGCAUCUUUUGGCCUAGGCCACGCCCAUUUGCGUCUAGAAUUUUUUUUCGCAAAAUCGCGAAAACCACAAAACUGUUUUUUCCCUACUCUUCCCACAUUUCUUGACCAAUCGACACCAAACUUUGCACACGACAUCUUCAGACGCACACGCAAAGAAUGCACGAAACACUUUUUUGAUGCGACCUUUGACGACGAAACGGUAGUGUUUUGAAUAUUGGUUUAUGAGCUAAAUUAGACGUGGAAAAUCAAAAAUCCAAAGAAAUCCAAAAUUAGACAUCGGAACGAGUCCAAAUUGUGCACACAUGUUGGUGCUAACCUUAAGGUCGUACGAUAAAAAUUUCGGAAAAUUUCGCCAUUAGGGGGCGCAAUAAACGAGGAAAUUGUAUAUCUUCUACAAAAUUUCGCCGCGAAAACGCUACGCUGACUUCUCGCUACUCCUACCACAGUCAAAUCCUUUGUAUCCACAGGUUCAGGGUAGCGUUUUGAACACAUGCUUCGCGCUGUGCCGGCGAAACGCACAUUUCUUGUCGCGUUGUGCCGGCGAAAUGCACACUUCUUGGACCCCUGCAUAACUGCUUGCAGUUCUAGUUAUUAUUCCUGCGCUAAAUGUGGUACCACAGCCCAAACCGUAAAUGGUGCCGACACGCCAAUUGCAUGACUUGAUCCAGGUCCGGCACCGCUACUCAGAUAACAAAAUACAGACACGCCGGCCACUAGGUGGCGCUAUACCAAGGAAAGACGCGUUUGGGGCUAUAACUCCCACACCGAACCUCCCACAUUUAAAACCUUGUACACACAUAUUCACUGGAGUCUGCUGCAUCUUUUGGCCUAGGCCACGCCCAUUUGCGUCUAGAAUUUUUUUUCGCAAAAUCGCGAAAACCGCAAAACUGUUUUUUCCCUACUCCUCCCACAUUUCUUGACCAAUCGACACCAAACUUUGCGCACGACAUCUUCUGACGCACACGCAAAGAAUGCAUGAAACACUUUUUUGAUCCGUCCUUCGAUAACGAAACAGUAUUGUUUUGAA